GACGAACGCUGGCGGCGUGCUUAACACAUGCAAGUCGAGCGGUAAGGCCCUUUCGGGGGUACGACGAGCGGCGAACGGGUGAGUAACACGUGGGUGACCUGCCCUCAGCUCUGGGAUAAGCCUGGGAAACCGGGUCUAAUACCGGAUAUGACUCCAUGACGCAUGUUGUGGGGUGGAAAGCCUUGUGCGGCUGAGGAUGGGCCCGCGGCCUAUCAGCUUGUUGGUGGGGUGAGGCCUACCAAGGCGACGACGGGUAGCCGGCCUGAGAGGGCGACCGGCCACACUGGGACUGAGACACGGCCCAGACUCCUACGGGAGGCAGCAGGUGGGGAAUCUUGCGCAAUGGGCGAAAGCCUGACGCAGCGACGCCGCGUGAGGGAUGACGGCCU
rnacentral:rRNA from 1 species